UACGUAGGGUGCGAGCGUUGUCCGGAAUUAUUGGGCGUAAAGAGCUCGUAGGCGGUCUGUCACGUCGGACGUGAAAAUCCAGGGCUCAACCCUGAACCUGCGUUCGAUACGGGCAGACUAGAGUUCGGUAGGGGAGACUGGAAUUCCUGGUGUAGCGGUGAAAUGCGCAGAUAUCAGGAGGAACACCGGUGGCGAAGGCGGGUCUCUGGGCCGAAACUGACGCUGAGGAGCGAAAGCGUGGGGAGCAAACAGG
rnacentral:rRNA from 1 species